rnacentral:rRNA from 1 species
CGCGUAGGCGGUUAUUUAAGUGAGAUGUGAAAUCCCUGGGCUUAACCUAGGAACUGCAUCUCAUACUGGAUAGCUAGAGUAUUGUAGAGGGUAGUGGAAUUUCCGGUGUAGCGGUGAAAUGCGUAGAGAUCGGAAGGAACACCAGUGGCGAAGGCGGCUACCUGGACAAAUACUGACGCUGAGGCGCGAAAGCGUGGGGAGCAAACA